CCACCCACCCAUCCCCCGGCGCCGCCUACCUCCACUUCACCGGCGACCUCCGCCAUCUGCCCCCGAUCCUCUCCACCUCCCCUCACCUUCUAUGCCACAGUGGGGCCCCUAGAUCGAGUAGGCGGGCGCCGUCAGAUCCGCCAUGCCCACAGCUCUCUCGGCUCCACCCCAAACCCUACCCACAACCGCCGCCGUGCUCCAUCACCAGCGACCUUGCCACCGCCCCUAUCCCCUCGCCCUAUCUCAAUACCCGCGACGCCGAGCCGGACGAGAGGAGCCACCGCCCCGCAGCACGCUCGCACCAGUACGUACAGGCGGUGCCCCCGUCGGAUCUGAACAAGAAAACCGAGUGGUUCAUGUACCUGGCAUUCCUAGAUCCAUCCGCCCCACCCUCUGCUCACCCUAUCUCCCUCGGUGUUGGGGCAUCUAGAUAGCGCAGGUCAGGUGCUGGCGCUCCAUGAUCUCCAUGCGAUGCGCCGGUGAGGCGAUGGUGAUGCUCGUGGUGGACGCCUCCGCCGUCUUCCACCGACACACAGCCGCGCCCUCCGACGCCGCUCUUCCACGCGAUGAGAGGCUUGGGUGCCGCUCGGCUGGGAUAGAACCCCGCGCUUGACGAUGCCAUGGACAUGGAGGUCUUCAAGGGGAAGCUGAUACCCACACAGCCAGCUCGUGCUCAUUGUGUUUGACUUCCAGCUCGUGCUCUACUGCGACGAGUACCGAUGCCCACACAGGUCUUUAUGAUGCUUUGGAACUAAGGGACGGUGGAUCUGACUACUUGGGAAAGGGUGUUUCCAAGUUCUAUCCGAUGAUACUCGAUUAGGGCCCCAUGUGUUUGAACAACUAGUCAAGUAACAUGGGUCCCCACUGGUGAUACAGCGUCAAGUUUGGAAGCAGCUGGAGUGAAUGUACUGGCGGAGGCCGGGAGCGCCAAGGUGGUGGCAUUCGAUGAGAUCGACCUUAGUGCUUGCUGCUAACAUGUGGAGGAGAAAGCCACAGGAAUCACCAUCUCAACGAAUAGUUUUGUUUGGCACUUACUGUUCCCGGGAUGUAACAUGUGUUUGAACAACUAGUCAAGUAACAUGGGUCCCCACUGGUGAUACAGCGUCAAGUUUGGAAGCAGCUGGAGUGAAUGUACUGGCGGAGGCCGGGAGCGCCAAGGUGGUGGCGUUCGACGAGAUCGACCUUAGUGCUUGCUGCUAACAUGUGGAGGAGAAAGCCACAGGAAUCACCAUCUCAACGGUCCGGCCUUAGUGCUUUCUGCUGACAUUUUCCUGCUAUUGUUCUGCUAGACAUUCUGCUGACAUUCUGCUGACAUUUCUGUUUUAAUUUUUUUGUCAUAGAAUAGUUUUGUUUGGCACUUACUGUUCCCGGGAUGUAAAGAUAUGUAUUGCUGGAAUGAACGCUUGUAAUAUAAUAACAUUGCAUGUUGCUUUGAAGAUGUAUCAGAACUGGGCUAGGCCCAAGAUAGCUUGUGGUGUGAUGAGUUGUAAUGUC